UACGGAGGGUGCGAGCGUUGUCCGGAAUCAUUGGGCGUAAAGGGCGCGUAGGUGGCCCCUCAAGCGUGCGGUGAAAGUCAGGGGCUCAACCCCUGAUCGGCCGUGCGAACUGGGGAGCUUGAGCACUGUAGAGGCAGGCGGAAUUCCGGGUGUAGCGGUGGAAUGCGUAGAGAUCCGGAGGAACACCGGUGGCGAAGGCGGGUCUCUGGGCCGAUACUGACGUGAGGAGCGAAAGCGUGGGGAGCGAACAGG
rnacentral:rRNA from 1 species